GUCAUAAUCUUCUGGCUGUCGGUGUCAUCAGAGUAAACAAAUUUUACCUUCUUGUAUGUCUUCUGGUCCAGAAAAGGCUUCACCACCUACAAAAUCCAAAACCAAUGAGAUGAAGCAUUGUGCCUCACAUUAAGCUGAAGAAUGUUGUUCUUGACUCGAGACAUUGUACAGAAGUCGCAGCAGUAAAUAACAAUGCAUGCCCAGCUUCGAAGACCGGUACCGGUUUACCUAAUCAGGAAUCAACUAAAUAGAGUGAUGGCGGUGACAGAUGUGCCCAGUGCAAUGCCGGCCCUCUCGAAAACAAAUUGAAAGGCAAUGUAUGAUGAUGUUAGCCUAAUCCGCACUAGCUACAGAAACAUCGGACUCAAUGGAGUGGAUGAACUUGUACAUGGUAAGCAUCCGGUUAUGAUCGGCUUGCAUCGGACUCGAUGGAGCGGAUGAACUUGUAAAUGGUCAACAUCUGGUUAUGAUCGGACUCAAUGGAGUGGAUGAGAUGAACUUGUACAUGGUAAGCAUUCGGUUAUGAUCGUCUCACAUCGGACUCUCGGACUCAAUGGAGCGGAUGAACUUGUAAAUGGUCAACAUCUGGUUAUGAUCAGACUCAACGGAGUGGAUGAGAUGAACUUGUGUACAUGAUCGUCUCACAUCGGACUCUCGGACUCAAUGGAGUGGAUGAACUUGUAAAAUGGUUAUGCUCGGACUCGAUGAAGGAGAUGAACUUGUGUCCACCAUUGAGAGACAAUUUGAGGUUGGUGGCCAAUGAGGUCAAAGUAUUGUCGAAUUUAGUCAUAUUAAUAUGAUAUGGGGGUGUCAAAACGAUGUACUGAUUGAUUCCACAUUCUGAAAGCUAAUGGUAAUUUCUUGUUUUUGGGGAAAGGAAAAAGGAAACAAAGAAAAAGAUGGUUGAAGUGCACACCCAACG